UGGAAAAUUUCAAAAGGACUCCUCCGGCCGCGAAAUCCUUUAGUUCGCCAUCGACGUUCACCCCAUCCGUGUCGCAUCGUAUUUUAAUGAGUGAGAGGAAGCCGUAAGAUCGUGUACGAUAACGGCUGCAUAUGAAUAACUGACGUCACUGACGGCCAAAGACACGGCGGAAUUACGUCAGGGAGAAGAUCGCGAGGAGAGAAAAAAGAAAAACUAACGCAGACGGAAACUCCCGGACCGACAUUUAUAUGGACCAAGUUAUCGCAAGGAUCUACAGUGUUGACUGAACCUCGUAACAAUUAUUCGAGGACGGACAGCGUAAUCCUGAUUUUAUUGAGACAGUUACAGGACCUCAGACAGAUAAGGAAAAUCGGCAGGCGCGGAUAUUCAAGUUUGUGAAUUAAUCAGCUGAUGUACCGGAAACUCGAGAUGCUCGGUACUGUAAGAAUGCGGGGGCAACGAUACGCGAGCACGUCGACGUCAGGAUAAUGAACAUCGACGGGCAAUCUGGAGAAGUGAUAGGGAAUAAUCAUGCAGCCCGAGGAGUUUUUCGCAACGCAACGUGCGCAUGGCACGUUGAAUUUUCCGACACACGCGACCCCGCUGCUCCACCGAUCGAGGUUCGAAGGGUCGAUCGAAUCCAAGAAGAUGAUAACGAUUGAUGAAUCGGCGGCGGCGGCGGCGGCGGCGGCGGCGGCGGCGGGAGCGGACAUACAAAGUCGUAUCGGACACGUCAACGGUAUACUUUAUUUGUAUGGAACACCGCCGCUGAUCCUUUUCUGCGUUAUUUCGAUCGCCAUAAAUAUCAAGGUUCUUAUGAGCGUAUUUUGGAUCAAACGGCCGCUCAGUCCAACCUUACACAUCAGCUUGAGUCUGGCAGGCGCGGACGCUUUUUCCAGCACUGCUCUGGGCAUAGGACUGAUCAUGAAUAGUUUUAUACCUUAUGGUCUUGGAAUUGAAUUAAAAGGCGUAAGCUGUUUCCUAUUGGCACUUGAAGCAGUAAGAUUGGGAGGCGUGAUAAUCACUGUCUUUCAUCUGAUGGCUCUAGCCAUCAAUCACUACUUAGGCAUCCUCAAACCUCUUCAUUAUCUUUCAAUUAUGACAUACAGAAAUACUACGUUUCUCUUGGUCCUGCUGUGGGUGCUACCAAUCUUCUUCUUCGCGCUGUAUUUUAGUUUAAUCGAAAAUGAAGGUUUCCAGUCCGUAGGGUGCGAGAAGAACGCGUUCUUAUAUCACAAGCAAUUUCGAAUGUUAUUCAGCAGCCUCUUCUUCGGGCCGUUCGCCUUGAUGGUUUGCAUUUACGUUCACAUAUUUUGCAUAGUAAAGAAACAUCAAGCCACGAGACUGCGUUUUCGCAGAACGGGAUCAUCUUUUCGCCCGAGAGCAUCGGAAGCGUUACGUAGCACUUCCAGGCAGAUGGCGAAAAACGUCAAAGCGGUCCACACAACUUUGUUCAUACUUGGAAGCUUCCUGAUCGGCUGGAUGCCCGGAGUAAUAAUGUACAUGCUCGUAUGCGAGGACUGUCUGCUGCAAUUUAAUUGGCUAUCAGGACACAGCACAUUCUUCAUUUACACGAUAAUCAACUGUCUAAUAAUCCUGAAGACCUUGGUGAAUCCAAUUAUUUACGCCGCCCGAAUGCACGAAAUUAAGGCAGCCACAAGGCGAAUGCGCAACUCCUUCUGCGAAUGGGUGACAGCGCUCACCGGUUUUACCACCAAUCGGGGUAUCAAUAGAGUUCAUAGCAGCGAAAAAACACGAAGCAGACAUUCCCAGUCGAGGAAUGGAACUUGUCGAUCUUCGCAUAACGUCAGCGUUCAAAGAGCUCGAAACGGGAGCACUUACACUUGUACGGUUUGUAACGUACGCGAAUGUGGCAAUACACUCGUGUAAAUGUGAGAAACGCUGCGAAAAUAUUUUCUUGUGUUUCUGAACGUUUGUGCAAACAUGAGUCGGCAUGAUCAGCGCUGAAAGAGCGAUAUAAUGGCUACGACAACAUUUUGAUCUUCUGACAGUGGCAAAUAGUCGCUGUGGGCUGCA
rnacentral:misc_RNA from 1 species